rnacentral:rRNA from 1 species
GACGAACCGUGCGAACGUUGUUCGGAAUCACUGGGCUUAAAGGGCGCGUAGGCGGUCGGGCAAGUCCGGGGUGAAAUCCUGCAGCUCAACUGUAGAAGUGCCUUGGAUACUGCCCGGCUCGAGGGAGGUAGGGGUCUGUGGAACUUCUGGUGGAGCGGUGAAAUGCGUUGAUAUCAGAAGGAACGCCGGUGGCGAAAGCGACAGACUGGACCUCUUCUAACGCUGAGGCGCGAAAGCUAGGGGAGCAAACGGG